AGAGUUUGAUCCUGGCUCAGGAUGAACGCUAGCGGUAGGCAUAACACAUGCAAGUCGAGGGGCAGCUGGUUUGGUAGCAAUACUGAAUGUCAGGCGACCGGCGGAUGGGUGAGUAACGCGUACGCAACCUACCUUGUACAGUGGGAUAGACACUGGAAACGGUGCGUAAUACCACGUAAUAAUAUAGAUAGGCAUCUAUUUAUAUGGGAAGGGUACGUAAGUAUUGGUAUAAGAUGGGCGUGCGUAGGAUUAGAUAGAUGGUGGGGUAACGGCUUACCAUGUCGACGAUCUUUAGGGGUUCUGAGAGGAAGGUCCCCCACAUUGCAACUGAGAACGGUGCAAACUCCUACGGGAGGCAGCAGUGAGGAAUAUUGGUCAAUGGGCGGAAGCUUGAACCAGCCAUACCGCGUGCAGGAGGGCGGCCUUAUGGGUUGUAAACUGCUUUUAUAAUGGGAUAGUGAUUAUAUCGUGCAUAUGAUAGGGAAGGUACAUUAUGAAUAAGUAUCGGCUAACUCCGUGCCAGCAGCCGCGGUAAUACGGAGGAUACGAGCGUUGUCCGGAUUUAUUGGGUUUAAAGGGUGCGUAGGCGGUUGAUUAGGUCUAUGGUGAAAUGGUUGUGCUCAACACAAUUUAGCUGUAGAAACCGGUCGGCUAGAAUAUAAGUGGCGUAGGCGGAAUAAAGCGUGUAGAGGUGACAUUCAUAGAUAUGCUUUAGAACACCGUUCGCGAAGGCGGCUUACGAAGGUAAAAUUGACGCUAAUGCACGAGAGCGUGGGUAUCGAACAGAAUUAGAUACUCUGGUAGUCCACGCUGUAAACGAUGAUAACUAUAUGUCGGCGAUAGAAUGUCGGUGUAGAAGUGAAAGCGAUAAGUUAUCCACCUGGGGAGUACGAUCGCAAGGUUGAAACUCAAAGGAAUUGACGGGGGCCCGCACAAGCGGAGGAGCAUGUGGUUUAAUUCGAUGAUACGCGAGGAACCUUACCCGGGCUUGAACGUGAGAUGGAUAUCACAGAGAUGUGGUAGUUAGCAAUAACGUCUUGCGAGGUGCUGCAUGGUUGUCGUCAGCUCGUGCCGUGAGGUGUCGGCUUAAGUGCCAUAACGAGCGCAACCCUUAUCUUCAGUUACCAUCAGGUAGAGCUGGGGACUCUGGAGAUACUGCCACCGUAAGGUGAGAGGAAGGUGGGGAUGACGUCAAAUCAGCACGGCCCUUACGUCCGGGGCGACACACGUGUUACAAUGGUCGGUACAGAGGGGAGCUACACUGUGAAGUGAUGCGAAUCUCGAAAGCCGAUCUCAGUUCGGAUUGGAGUCUGCAACUCGACUCCAUGAAGUUGGAUUCGCUAGUAAUCGCGCAUCAGCCAUGGCGCGGUGAAUACGUUCCCGGGCCUUGCACACACCGCCCGUCA
rnacentral:rRNA from 1 species